UACGUAGGGGGCAAGCGUUGUCCGGAGUUACUGGGCGUAAAGCGCACGCAGGCGGUCGUUUAAGUUUGGAGUGACAGUUGGUGGCUUAACUGCCAAAGUGCUUCGAAAACUGAUCGACUUGAGGGCUUCAGAGGGACACGGAAUUCCGGGUGGAGUGGUGAAAUGCGUAGAGAUCCGGAGGAACACCGAAGGCGAAGGCAGUGUCCUGGGGAGUACCUGACGCUCAGGUGCGAAAGCCAGGGGAGCGAACGGG
rnacentral:rRNA from 1 species